rnacentral:rRNA from 1 species
AGAACGAACGUUGGCGGCGUGGAUUAGGCAUGCAAGUCGAAUGAAUCCCUUGGGGGUAACUCUAAGGGGGAAAUGGCGAAAGGGGCAGUAAGGCAUGGGCAACCUACCCCGGGGACGGGCAUAGCCGUCCUAACGGACGGGUAAUUCCCGGCGAUUCGGCGGAGGGGCAUCUCUCUGCCGGGAAACGAGUUUCGCCUCGGGAGGGGCUCAUGUAGUAUUAGCUUGUUGGUGGGGUAACGGCCUACCAAGGCGAAGAUGCUUAGCGGGUGUGAGAGCACGACCCGCGCCACUGGCACUGAGACACUGGCCAGACUCCUACGGGAGGCUGCAGUCGAGGAUCUUCGGCAAUGGGCGCAAGCCUGACCGAGCGACGCCGCGUGUGCGAAGAAGGCCUUCGGGUUGUAAGCACUGUCGAGGGGAGAAGCCGCAGGUUGAUCGACCCUGGAGGAAGCACGGGCUAAGUUCGUGCCAGCAGCCGC